rnacentral:rRNA from 1 species
UACGUAGGGUGCAAGCGUUGUCCGGAAUUAUUGGGCGUAAAGAGCUCGUAGGCGGUUUGUCGCGUCUGCUGUGAAAACCCGAGGCUCAACCUCGGGCCUGCAGUGGGUACGGGCAGACUAGAGUGCGGUAGGGGAGAUUGGAAUUCCUGGUGUAGCGGUGGAAUGCGCAGAUAUCAGGAGGAACACCAACGGCGAAAGCACUCUGCUGGGCCGACACUGACACUGAGAGACGAAAGCUAGGGGAGCAAAUGGG